rnacentral:rRNA from 1 species
UACAGAGGGGGCAAGCGUUGUUCGGAAUUACUGGGCGUAAAGGGCGCGUAGGCGGCCUGCUAAGUCGAACGUGAAAUCCCUGGGCUCAACCCAGGAACUGCGUCCGAUACUGGUUGGCUUGAAUUCGGGAGAGGGAUGCAGAAUUCCACGUGUAGCAGUGAAAUGCGUAGAGAUGUGGAGGAACACCGAUGGCGAAGGCAGCCCCCUGGGCUAACACUGACGCUCAUGCACGAAAGCGUGGGGAGCAAACAGG